rnacentral:rRNA from 1 species
UACGGGGGGGGCAAGCGUUGUUCGGAAUUACUGGGCGUAAAGGGCUCGUAGGCGGCCAACUAAGUCAGACGUGAAAUCCCUCGGCUUAACCGGGGAACUGCGUCUGAUACUGGAUGGCUUGAGUUUGGGAGAGGGAUGCGGAAUUCCAGGUGUAGCGGUGAAAUGCGUAGAUAUCUGGAGGAACACCGGUGGCGAAGGUGGCAUCCUGGACCAACACUGACGCUGAUGAGCGAAAGCCAGGGGAGCAAACGGG